AGGGAUGUAGCUCAGACGGUAGAGCGGCGGUCUCCAAAACCGUUCGUCGGGGGUUCGAGUCCCUCCGUCCCUG
rnacentral:tRNA from 3 species